rnacentral:rRNA from 1 species
AGUGAACGCUGGCGGCAGGCCUAACACAUGCAAGUCGAACGGCAGCACAAGAGAGCUUGCUCUCUGGGUGGCGAGUGGCGGACGGGUGAGGAAUGCAUCGGAAUCUGCCCAUUUGUGGGGGAUAACCUCGGGAAACCGGGACUAAUACCGCAUACGACCUACGGGUGAAAGCAGGGGAUCUUCGGACCUUGCGCAGAUGGAUGAGCCGAUGCCGGAUUAGCUAGUUGGAGGGGUAAAGGCCCACCAAGGCGACGAUCCGUAGCUGGUCUGAGAGGAUGAUCAGCCACACUGGGACUGAGACACGGCCCAGACUCCUACGGGAGGCAGCAGUGGGGAAUAUUGGACAAUGGGCGCAAGCCUGAUCCAGCCAUGCCGCGUGUGUGAAGAAGGCCUUCGGGUUGUAAAGCACUUUUGUUGGGAAAGAAAAGCAGCCGGUUAAUACCCGGUUAUCAUGACGGUACCCAAAGAAUAAGCACCGGCUAACUUCGUG